rnacentral:rRNA from 1 species
GUGAGGAAUUUUCCGCAAUGGGCGAAAGCCUGUCGGAGCAAUGCCGCGUGAAGGAUGAAGGCCUAUGGGUUGUAAACUUCUUUUCUCAGAAAAGAAUUAUGACGGUAUCUGAGGAAUAAGCAUCGGCUAACUCUGUGCCAGCAGCCGCGGUAAGACAGAGGAUGCAAGCGUUAUCCGGAAUGAUUGGGCGUAAAGCGUCUGUAGGUUGUUUAAAAAGUAUUCUGUCAAAGAUUAGGGCUUAACCCUAGAUAGGCAGAAUAAACUUUUAAGCUAGAGUUUGGUAGAGGCAGAGGGAAUUCCCGGUGGAGCGGUGAAAUGCGUAGAUAUCGGGAGGAACACCAAAGGCGAAGGCACUCUGCUGGGCCAAUACUAACACUGAGAGACGAAAGCGAGGGGAGCAAAUGGGAUUAGAAACCCUUGUAGUCC